rnacentral:rRNA from 1 species
AAUUCGAUUAGUUUGAUCAUGGCUCAGAGCGAACGCUGGCGGCAGGCCUAACACAUGCAAGUCGAGCGCCCGUAGCAAUACGGGAGCGGCAGACGGGAGAGUAACACGUGGGAACGUACCCUUCAGUUCGGAACAACCAAGGGAAACUUUGGCUAAUACCGGAUACGUCCGUAAGGAGAAAGAUUUAUCGCUGAAGGAUCGGCCCGCGUCUGAUUAGCUAGUUGGUGAGGUAACGGCCCACCAAGGCGACGAUCAGUAGCUGGUCUGAGAGGAUGAUCAGCCUCAUUGGGACUGAGACACGGCCCAAACUCCUACGGGAGGCAGCAGUGGGGAAUAUUGGACAAUGGGCGCAAGCCUGAUCCAGCCAUGCCGCGUGGGUGAUGAAGGCCCUAGGGUUGUAAAGCCCUUUCGGCGGGGAAGAUAAUGACGGUACCCGCAGAAGAAGCCCCGGCUAACUUCGUGCCAGCAGCCGCGGUAAUACGAAGGGGGCUAGCGUUGCUCGGAAUCACUGGGCGUAAAGCGCACGUAGGCGGAUUUCUAAGUCAGGGGUGAAAUCCUGGAGCUCAACUCCAGAACUGCCUUUGAUACUGGGAAUCUUCGAGUCCGGGAGAGGUGAGUGGAACUGCGAGUGUAGAGGUGAAAUUCGUAGAUAUUCGCAAGAACACCAGUGGCGAAGGCGGCUCACUGGCCCGGUACUGACGCUGAGGUGCGAAAGCGUGGGGAGCAGACAGGAUUAGAUACCCUGGUAGUCCACGCCGUAAACGAUGGAUGCUAGCUGUUGGUGGGUUU